rnacentral:sRNA from 1 species
AAAAAAAGAAGAAGAAAAAAAAACACAAAAAA